rnacentral:rRNA from 1 species
GACGAACGCUGGCUGCGUGCUUAACACAUGCAAGUCGAACGGAAAGGCCCUGCUUUUGUGGGGUGCUCGAGUGGCGAACGGGUGAGUAACACGUGAGUAACCUGCCCUUGCCUUUGGGAUAACUUCAGGAAACUGGGGCUCAUACCGGAUAGGAGCUCCUUCUGCAUGGUGGGGGUUGGAAAGUUUCGGCGGUUGGGGAUGGACUCGCGGCUUAUCAGCUUGUUGGUGGGGUAGUGGCUUACCAAGGCUUUGACGGGUAGCCGGCCUGAGAGGGUGACCGGCCACAUUGGGACUGAGAUACGGCCCAGACUACUACGGGGGGCAGCAGUGGGGAAUAAUGCACAAUGGGCGGAAGCCUGAUGCAGCAACGCCGCGUGAGGGAUGACGGCCUUCGGGUUGGAAACCGCUUUCGCCUGUGACGAAGCGUGAGUGAAGGUAAUGGGUAAAGAAGCACCGGCUAACUACGUG